CUUCCAUCUGGAAGAAUCUGGAGGACAGGUGCUGCAUGGCUGUCGUCAGCUCGUGUCGUGAGAUGUUGGGUUAAGUCCCGCAACGAGCGCAACCCUUGCCUUUAGUUGCCAGCAGUUCGGCUGGGCACUCUAAAGGGGACUGCCGGUGUUAAACCGGAGGAAGGUGGGGAUGACGUCAAGUCCUCAUGGCCUUUAUGACCAGGGCUACACACGUACUACAAUGGCCGAUACAAAGGGCAGCGACACUGCGAGGUGAAGCCAAUCCCGUAAAAAUCGGUCUCAGUCCGGAUUGGAGUCUGCAACUCGACUCCAUGAAGUUGGAAUCGCUAGUAAUCGUGGAUCAGCAUGCCACGGUGAAUACGUUCCCGGGCCUU
rnacentral:rRNA from 1 species